GUCGAGCGGAAUGACGAGAGCUUGCUCUCUGAUUUUAGCGGCGGACGGGUGAGUAACACGUGGGCAACCUGCCCUACAGAUGGGGAUAACUCCGGGAAACCGGGGCUAAUACCGAAUAAUCAGUUUGUCCGCAUGGACAAACUCUGAAAGACGGUUUCGGCUGUCACUGUAGGAUGGGCCCGCGGCGCAUUAGCUAGUUGGUGGGGUAUGGCCUACCAAGGCAACGAUGCGUAGCCGACCUGAGAGGGUGAUCGGCCACACUGGGACUGAGACACGGCCCAGACUCCUACGGGAGGCAGCAGUAGGGAAUCUUCCACAAUGGACGAAAGUUUGAUGGAGCAAUGCCGCGUGAGCGAAGAAGGUUUUCGGAUCGUAAAGCUCUGUUGCAAGGGAAGAACACGUACGGGAGUAACUGCCCGUGCCAUGACGGUACCUUAUUAGAAAGCCACGGCUAACUACGUGCCAGCAGCCGCGGUAAUACGUAGGUGGCAAGCGUUGUCCGGAAUUAUUGGGCGUAAAGCGCGCGCAGGCGGUUCUUUAAGUCUGAUGUGAAAGCCCACGGCUCAACCGUGGAGGGUCAUUGGAAACUGGAGAACUUGAGUACAGAAGA
rnacentral:rRNA from 1 species